rnacentral:lncRNA from 1 species
UUCUAGAGGAAUGUCCAGUUUCACCCAUCAAUUCAGUUUCAGAUGGCCAAAAAAAGAUAAAAAGAAGAGGUUUGAAGAGAAGAAUGAUAAGUAAGUCUCCUCUGAGCAUAAAGAUAAUUCUAAAACACCUUCUUCUAACCAAAAGAAUAGCUCUAUUAAAUGCUUUUGGUGUUUUGGUAUUGGAAUUAUUCCUUCAUAAUGCCCCAAUA